UUCUCAGGCUGAUGGAGUGAGUGACGGAGUGGGUUGCCAACUAUAGUGACUCCACUCAGCGUGCAGGAUGGCUGCGGGGAAUAUAUUCAGACAUGCCCAGAGAAGCCUGCCCAGGGGGAAACACAUACCUUUGAGGU
rnacentral:lncRNA from 1 species